UUGUCUUGAUCACUUUAACUGUUACUUAUAUUUGGUAUAUAUGCACACAUCGAAGACUUAUUUCUGUAGCCAAAACCCUACCUACGACAGUUCCUCCCAUACCAAUCUUCGGACAUUUAAUCUACAUGCUACGCCAACCAUCCAAAAUUAAAACCAAAUUGAUUGAAACUAUGAUGAGGACUUCGGCAGCUCGAGGACAAAAGGCCUUUGUCUUGUGGGUGGGACCUCUACCCUCUAUAUACAUACAACAACCGGAGGAUAUACAGGUAGCACUGAAUAGCUCCCAAUCCUUAAAUAGAGGCUUUAUCUAUCAAAUGGUAGAAUUUGGUAUUGGACGUG